rnacentral:lncRNA from 1 species
AAGUAUUUAACAAAUACUUAACUUUAGUUUUUAUAUUUUCAUUUUCAUCUGACAUACAAACUAUCAAAAAAAAUAGUUUAGACUAUUUAAAAUUUUAUGUAACAAAGUAAGAGUUAUGACAUCUAAAAAAAAUCAAGAUAUAUAAUUCACAAAUAUUUAAAUAUCUAAUGUGAAUAAUAAAUUAACUUCAAAUUCAAAAUAAACUAAAAUAAAAAGAUCAUUGUAAUAAAUUGUCAAUAACGGAAAUAAACUAACACCAAAUCACAUCAACUAGUUUUGGUUCUCUCUAUC